CCUACGGGGGUCAGCAGUGAGGAAUAUUGGUCAAUGGACGCAAGUCUGAACCAGCCAUGCCGCGUGCAGGAAGACGGCUCUAUGAGUUGUACACUGCUUUUGUACGAGGGUAAACGCAGAUACGCGUAUCUGUCUGAAAGUAUCGUACGAAUAAGGAUCGGCUAACUCCGUGCCAGCAGCCGCGGUAAUACGGAGGAUUCAAGCGUUAUCCGGAUUUAUUGGGUUUAAAGGGUGCGUAGGCGGUCGGAUAAGUUAGAGGUGAAAUCCCGAGGCUCAACUUCGGAAUUGCCUCUGAUACUGUUCGGCUAGAGAGUAGUUGCGGUAGGCGGAAUGUAUGGUGUAGCGGUGAAAUGCUUAGAGAUCAUACAGAACACCGAUUGCGAAGGCAGCUUACCAAGCUACUUCUGACGUUGAGGCACGAAAGCGUGGGGAGCAAACAGGAUUAGAUACCCGGGUAGUC
rnacentral:rRNA from 1 species